rnacentral:rRNA from 1 species
UACGAAGGGGGCUAGCGUUGCUCGGAAUUACUGGGCGUAAAGGGCGCGUAGGCGGUUAGUUUAGUCAGAGGUGAAAGCCCAGGGCUCAACCUUGGAAUUGCCUUUGAUACUGGCUAUCUUGAGUACGGAAGAGGUAUGUGGAACUCCGAGUGUAGAGGUGAAAUUCGUAGAUAUUCGGAAGAACACCAGUGGCGAAGGCGACAUACUGGUCCGUUACUGACGCUGAGGCUCGAAAGCGUGGGGAGCAAACAGG